rnacentral:rRNA from 1 species
UACAGAGGUCCCAAGCGUUGUUCGGAUUUACUGGGCGUAAAGGGUGCGUAGGUGGCUAGGUAAGUCUGACGUGAAAUCCCACAGCUUAACUGUGGAACUGCGUCGGAUACUAUCAAGCUAGAGGUAUGGAGGGGAGAUUGGAAUGCUCGGUGUAGCAGUGAAAUGCGUAGAUAUCGAGCGGAACACCAGUGGCGAAGGCGAAUCUCUGGACAUUACCUGACACUGGGGCACGAAAGCCAGGGGAGCAAACGGG